CGCCUCGCAUGCUGUGCUGCCUGCGACUGAGCUGAGAAGGAAACCGUGCCCAGGGCUCUCGGAAGACCGCUGCGGCAUGACAGGCGAGGAGGCGGUGGUGGUGACCGCAGUGGUGGCGCCCGAGGCGGGUCGCGAAGAGAAGCAGCCUCCUCCGCCAGCAGGGCUGGGGUGCGGGGCGCGCGGGGAGCCCGGCCGCGGCCUCCUAGAGCACGGCCAGCCGUGGAAGAAAUUUUUAUAUUGUGAGCCACAUAAGAGAAUUAAGGAAGUACUGGAAGAAGAACUUCAUAUUAAGAGAGAUGAAUGCCACACUAAAAAUCCAGCUGCAGUGGCCCUGGAAGGGAUUUGGAGCAUUAAAAGGAAUCUGCCUGUGGGAGGCUUGAAGCCAGGACUGCCGAGCAGAAACAGUUUAUUGCCACAAGCCAAGUACUACUCCAGGCACGGAGGACUCAGAAGAUAAGAUGAAUUAGAUUUUCCAUUAAGAAGGAACCUCUUUCUGCUGAUGUCUGAAGAACGGAGAAGAAACUCAAGCUUGUUUCAGGAUUUAAGAUGUGUGCAAAAAAAUGAUAGCCUGUAAUUACUAUUAUUGGUAUUAAUACCUAUCUAUAAAUUAAUCCAAAGUAAUGAAAGACUAUUGGUAAUGUUCAGUAAGUACCUGAAAACAAUAAAGGAAAUACACU
rnacentral:lncRNA from 1 species